UGGGGAAUAUUGCACAAUGGGGGAAACCCCGAUGCAGCGACGCCGCGUGAGCGAAGAAGGUUUUCGAAUCGUAAAGCUCUGUCCUAUGAGAAGAUAAUGACGGUAUCAUAGGAGGAAGCCCUGGCUAAAUACGUGCCAGCAGACGCGGGAAUACGUAUGGGGCGAGCGUUGUCCGGAAUUAUUGGGCGUAAAGGGUACGUAGGCGGUCUAUUAAGUCAGGUGUGAAAGCGUGAGGCUUAACCUCAUUAAGCACUUGAAACUGAUUGACUUGAGUGAAGGAGAGGCAAGUGGAAUUCCUGGUGUAGCGGUGAAAUACGUAGAUAUUAAGAGGAAUACCGGUGGCGAAGGCGACUUUCUGGACUUUUACUGACUCUCAGGUACGAAAGCGUGGUGAGCAAACAGG
rnacentral:rRNA from 1 species